GGGGAGCAGGUGUGUUAAAUUUGGCGUUAUCGCUCUCACUCUCUCAUACUGGACACUGGAAGUUCAACAUGGCACCUCAUGGCAAAGAACUCUCUGAGGAUCUGAAAAAAGAAUUGUUGCUGUAUAUAAAGAUGGCCUGGGCUAUAAGGAGAUUGCCAAGACCGUGAAACGAAGUACAAAGACAAGUGUGUCUUGCCUACAGUCAAGCAUGGUGGUGGGAGUGUCAUGGUCUGGGCCUGCAUGGGUGCUACCGGCACUGGGGAGCUUCACUUUAUUUAGGGAACCAUGAAUGCCAACAUGUUCUGUGACAUACUGAAGCAGGGCAUGAUCCCCUCUCUUCGGAGACUGGGCCGCAGGGCAGUAUUGCAACAUGA